rnacentral:misc_RNA from 1 species
ACGCUCUCUCGAUCUCUCUCGCUAAAUAACGGCCUUUUCAUCUUCACUCUUAUCUCUCUCUUUUGUUUCUCCAUAACCUACUGCGACUGUGCGACGCCGCCACCCCUCGCCGACCGCUCCGUCCCGUCCCCGCCUGCCUCCGUCUCUCGCGCGCACCCGCAGAUCCUCUUCUUGCUCGGCCUAAGCACGGCUCCGAUCGCCUCUUCUUACAUUCCCAGGAGGCCAGCGACCAUGGCGCAACCCACCCUCGCGAUGCUCCGCCAGCUGGUCGGCGAUCUUGUGCGCGCUGCCGUUGCGGUGAAGGCGCGCGAACCCCUCGAAUUCCAGUCGGCCUUUGCUUCCGCAACGAAGACGAUGGCCUACUCGCAGGGCUGUGCGGACAUUCACUCCGACACGAACGGUGACGGUACGAGACACCGCCUCUCGUACGCUGAGUCUGGGCAUGACCACGGCCACAGCCACGGCAGCGGCUCCGACGGCGACCACGGCCACAGCCACGGCAGCGGCUCCGACGGCGGUCACGGCCACAGCCACGGCUGCGCCUCUGUGGAAGGCGACUACAUGCUGGGAUUGCACAUUGCUGCGAUCUUCAUCAUUCUCGCUGCAUCGGUUGUGGGCACGCUGAUCCCGAUCGUGGGCAAGCGUGUGCCUGCGCUGCGUCUCCACGCGUAUGUGUACGCUGUGGGCAAGGCCGCUGCGACGGGUGUGGUGCUUGCUGUUGCGAUGAUUCACAUGAUUAACCACGCUUCUGUUGUGUUUGGGGCUGACUGCGUCCCUGAGAGCUUCCGCGAGAUGUACGAGGGCUGGGCGUUUCUGUUUGCGAUGAUUGCCGCUAUCGUGAUGCACGCAAUUGACGGGACGGUCGGGUGGAUUGCGGAGCGGUGGACCGCGCGCGCCGCUGGUAAGGUGCCGCCCACGGAUCCGUGCCACGGCUUGCUGCGCAACGAGUGCUUUGCGGUGCGCAAGGACGGGCUUGCGGAGAGGCCCGACGAGGAUGUGCUGAAGGACAUGUACGGCGGUGCGGAGGAUGGACAGGGCGGUGUCUCUGUGCCUCAGAUGGACGCCGCGAAGUGUGUGGGACACCAGCACGGCGUAGCUGUGCCGGAGGACAUGCCGCCGCUGCAGCGCGUCGUGGCAGCGCUGUGCAUGGAGCUCGGCGUGACGCUGCACAGCGUGUUUGUGGGGCUUGCGCUUGCCGUGUCCAACGGCGCGGACCUGCGCGCGCUGAUCAUUGCGCUUGUGUUCCACCAGCUGUUUGAGGGCCUUGCGAUGGGCGCGCGUCUUGCGGACGCGUCGUUCAAGAUAUCACUGGAGCUUGCGCUGAUGCUUGUGUUCUCGCUCUCUGCGCCGAUCGGGAUUGCGGCAGGCACCGGCACUGUGAUGGCGUCGCGCGACGCGCUGUCGGGGACGACGUACGCGUUGGUGAGUGCGAUCCUGGACUCGAUCUGCGGCGGGAUCAUGCUGUACAUUGCCUUCAAUCUGCUGUUCGUGGACUUCUCGCACGACCUGCACGUGCACUGCGGCGCGAAGAGCAAGUGCGGCGUGGCCAAGCGGAUUGGGAUGUACGCCGGGCUGUGGAUCGGUGCGGCCGUGAUGGCGAUCAUCGGGAAGUGGCUGUAGGUGUUGGACCGCUGCUGCUGUUCCUGCGCGAGUAUGUGGCUAGGUGGCGGCUGCUGUAAUGGAUCGUGCUUCUGUGCCGCUGUGGGGCGUGGGCGGGGCCGGCGGUGCCUGUUUGACGCCCCCCUCAGCUGUGGGCAUCAUCCCAAUGCUCCCUCUUCCUACGCCGUCGCAGGCACGCGCGCAGCGCAACAUAUAAAUAUUAGAUCAGACCUGUUGUAGUGCACCCUUUUCUUUCGCUACCUCCCCCGUCUUUUCUUCCACGCUGUUUCGUAAACUCUCCUCCUCCUCGUUUUAGUUUCCGUCCCCCAUUCCACACGCCCCACCCCCCUUAGCAUCGGCGUAAUGCACACCCAUUCACACGUACACCAUCCACCGUACGCCGUCCCGCAGUGGGGCCCGCGGCUCUCUUACGGCCUUCGUGCACUUCUCUCACCUUCACUAAUCACGCAGCGCUCUCUUCGCGUUUUGCAACGGCGGAGGAGUUGCUCUCCUCUCUUCCCUCCCUGUCGACUUGUGAAAGUGUGUUUGCUGGGGCACCGUCCACGCUGUGCACUCCCCUCCCCCAGAGGAGCGGUGUGUGUUACCCGGGAGCACGAUAAGUGGGCCCUCUGCCCCCUCUUCCCCCCUCCCCCGCCGCUGUGCGCGUGCGUGCUUCCCAGUAGCGUGUGGUCUCUCUUGUGCCUUUACCGCCUUUUGCUUUGCUUCCAUACCAGUGGUGUGUGUGCGUGUGCUUUUCGUUCCUUCCCUGCGCGUGCCGCUCUCACUUCCACUCUUGCCCCGCACUGUCCCCCCAGGGACGACGAUAGGGUGCGGCUUUGGUUCUUCUUGACGCUCUUUCGAGAGCGUGUACGCGCGUGUGUGUUUGUGUGUGCAUUCCCAUGAGUUGAGGAAGGGAUGGUGGGUGUCUUGCGGUGGCGGAGCCGUGUGAGUCAGUGCGGUUGCCUGUGCUGCUUUGACGGCUGCACGGCUGCUGCUGCCGCGCGUCGCCCGCGUGUCCCUUUCUGUGCGCGCGUUGAUUUUCCCUUGUGUGUGUGUUUCUGUGUGCGUGUGCGUGUGUGUGUCGGCGCGUAUUCGGCCCCAACUGCUUCCCCCCUAGACCCCGGAGGGUUGCAGCGACUGUGACGGCGCGUGCUGCACGGCGCUUCCGCCUCGUGCGCAUCUGCUGCGUCUCUGCGUUUUCCGUGCGCUCGCACCCCCUCCCCUUGUGCUCUUUCUGGGGAGUCCCUGUGUGUGCGUGCAUCCUCACCCCCUCUACGAGCUGUGCGUGCGUGAGUGAUCAUGUGCUGCUUGUUCUCUUGGCUAGCGCUGCGGGGCUCCCCCUCGUGUGCUGCGGUGAGUGCGGUGGCGCGCUGCAGGCGGGACGGCGGAGGCAACGUGCCGUGCUCUGUACCGUCUCUUCCUCUCGUUGCUGUUGCCGACGUGCGCGCGCGACUGUGUGUGUGUCGCCCCCCUUUUCCACUCUUUCCAUGCGCCCGCCGCAAUAGCAUUUUCCUCUAAGAGCUGUACCGUACUUUAUGUCUGUGAGUAAGCGGCGGCAUGCCGCGGAUCGCCUAUAACCUGCGUCUGUGUAUAUCUAAGUAAGUAAGCGUCUGUGUGUGUGUGUGUGAGUAAGUGUGCGCGCGCGUGAGGGCCCCUGAGAGUCCUCGCGUGGUGGGAGACCGCGCCGCUGCGCGCACGGUCCGAUGGCCCCCCUCGCCCUCCCCCGUGGUAAAGACUUGUAUGCUUCGCCUGUUCCUCUCUCUUCUUAGUCCGCUUUGUGCCUGUGCUUUGGUCUCCUCCUGUGGCGCGCCGGCGAGCGGUGUGGUGGGAAGGGCCUUCGCGCGUGGCGGCGGUGGAUGCGCCCCCGUUGCACGUUGCGCGUGCGCCUGCCUCGCUGCCUGCCGUCUGACAUGUUCCUCUGCGCGAUGCGCUUCCCCCCGCUGUGUCUCUGCGGGUGCCGCUGUCUCUGUGGAUGUGUGUGCACCACGCCUCCGCGCUUGGGGGCGUGGAUGCCGAGCGCUGCGUCGAGGACGGGGUGGGAGGGAUUCUCCGUGAUGUGAGGCCGUCGCCGCCCCGGCAAGCACUGCGACCACGCCGUUGACGGGCGUGCGCGUGCGCGGGUGCGGGCGGCGCUGUCGCCGACUUGUGUUUUGUGCCUUUUCUUUUUUUGUUUCGGUUUUACGUUGUUCUUUUGGCUCCUGUGGCAAUACCCCACGCUUCUGGGUUUCUGUUCCGGCCGCGCGGCCCGUGCGCUGACAUCUCCGGUGCAUUGCACGGCCUGUGCCUAACCGGGGUGUGCGCAGUGAC